rnacentral:lncRNA from 1 species
CCGGCUUGCCAAUGAUGAUGGAGAUAGGCCUUGAGAGAGGUUUCCUCACAGCGCUUAAAGAUUUUGUCCUCAUGCAAUUGCAGCUGGCUGCUGUUUUCUUCACUUUCUCCCUCGGAACGAAAACACAUUAUUAUGGAAGAACAAUUUUGCAUGGGGGUGCCAAGUACAGACCAACUGGGCGCAAAGUCGUCUUUCAUGCUAGCUUUACUGAAAACUACAGAUUAUAUUCAAGAAGCCACUUUGUCAAGGCAUUUGAGCUAUUGUUGUUGCUGAUUGUUUAUAAUAUGUUCAGGAGGUCUUAUCAAAGUAACGUGACAUACGUUGUAAUAACUUACGCCAUUUGGUUCAUGUCCUUAACUUGGUUAUGUGCACCUUUCCUUUUUAACCCUGCCGGAUUCAGCUGGACCAAGGCGGUAGAUGACUGGAAAGAGUGGAAUAAAUGGAUCAGGCAACCAGGUGGAUUGGGAAUUCAUCAGGAUAAAAGUUGGCAUUCUUGGUGGUAUGAUGAGCAAGCUCAUCUUCGCCGGUCAAGUCUUGCUUCCAGGUUCACCGAGAUAUUGCUCUCUCUUCGUUUCUUCAUCUAUCAGUACGGUCUAGUCUAUCACCUAGACAUAUCUCACCAUAGCAAAAACUUCCUGGUCUAUGUCUUUUCUUGGAUUGUGAUUGUUGCAGUUUUCGUCUUGGUGAAGGUAUUUUUCACUAAUACCCUCUUUCCUUGCACUCUUAAAAAAUUUGCUCAACAAAGUAAAAGCAUGAUUUUGAUGCAGGCUGUGAACCUGGGAAGGCAACUGCUAAGUGCUAAUUAUCAGCUUGGAUUCAGAUUUUUCAAAGCAUUCCUGUUCAUUGGUGUUAUUGCCCUCAUAAUUACUCUUUCCUUUAUAUAUCAACUUUCAUCGAUGGACCUUUUUGUUUGCUGUCUGGCAUUCAUGCCAACUGCCUGGGGAUUGAUAAUGGUAAUAAUCUUUAGCAACCCUUUUUUUUAACAUAUCUUUAGCAACCUUGGAUGAGCUAAAUUGUCACCUUUUUUAAUUUGUUCCUUGCUUUUUCCCUGUGAGGCUGUGACUUAAUCCAUGUAGGAGGCCAUUUGAAUACGGACUUAUUGAAGCUUAUGUAUAAGAAAAAACACUGUAUAAGCUCUAACAAGUGCUCUUUGUCUUACAUCCAAGCGGGUUCUAAUUAAUAUAUUUUGGUGGUUCAGAUAGCACAAGCUGCAAGGCCAAAGAUAGAGCAUACAGGAUUGUGGGACUUCACCCGUGCACUUGCUAGAGAAUUUGACUACGGAAUGGGGAUAGUUCUUUUUGGACCUAUAGCUAUUUUGGCAUGGCUACCAAUCAUUAAAGCCUUCCAUGAUCGUAUCCUCUUCAACGAGGCAUUCAAAAGGCACUUGCAAAUCCAACCAAUUCUUGCAGGAAAAAGGAAGAAGCACAGAACUUGAUCAUGAUUUGUACUUGUUUUUGUACAGCCAUGCAAUGAAUCAUGUUUUAUUUUUCUAUAGAAACGAUAUUAGGAACUUAACAGAACUUAUAGCAUGUACAGCUAGCUGCAUUCGUGUGAGUAUACAUAGUCAUAAAUGUGCACAGGCUUGCCAAUGAUGAUGGAGAUAGGCCUUGAGAGAGGUUUCCUCACAGCGCUUAAAGAUUUUGUCCUCAUGCAAUUGCAGCUGGCUGCUGUUUUCUUCACUUUCUCCCUCGGAACGAAAACACAUUAUUAUGGAAGAACAAUUUUGCAUGGGGGUGCCAAGUACAGACCAACUGGGCGCAAAGUCGUCUUUCAUGCUAGCUUUACUGAAAACUACAGAUUAUAUUCAAGAAGCCACUUUGUCAAGGCAUUUGAGCUAUUGUUGUUGCUGAUUGUUUAUAAUAUGUUCAGGAGGUCUUAUCAAAGUAACGUGACAUACGUUGUAAUAACUUACGCCAUUUGGUUCAUGUCCUUAACUUGGUUAUGUGCACCUUUCCUUUUUAACCCUGCCGGAUUCAGCUGGACCAAGGCGGUAGAUGACUGGAAAGAGUGGAAUAAAUGGAUCAGGCAACCAGGUGGAUUGGGAAUUCAUCAGGAUAAAAGUUGGCAUUCUUGGUGGUAUGAUGAGCAAGCUCAUCUUCGCCGGUCAAGUCUUGCUUCCAGGUUCACCGAGAUAUUGCUCUCUCUUCGUUUCUUCAUCUAUCAGUACGGUCUAGUCUAUCACCUAGACAUAUCUCACCAUAGCAAAAACUUCCUGGUCUAUGUCUUUUCUUGGAUUGUG